CACGUAGGGCGCGAGCGUUGUCCGGAAUUAUUGGGCGUAAAGCGCACGUAGGCGGCUUGGCAAGUCGGAUGUGAAAUCCCUCGGCUCAACCAAGGAAGUGCAUCCGAAACUGCUGAGCUUGAGUACGAAAGAGGAUCGCGGAAUUCCCGGUGUAGAGGUGAAAUUCGUAGAUAUCGGGAGGAACACCAGUGGCGAAGGCGAGUUUCUGGACAGUUACUGACGCUGAGGCACGAAGGCCAGGGGAGCAAACGGG
rnacentral:rRNA from 1 species